rnacentral:misc_RNA from 1 species
UUUUUCUUCACUUUCUGACUCAUAACCCAAUUCAAUCUAUACGUAUACGAAUCCUAUCUCUAUAGCUUCUGCUUUCAAUCGUCUUCUUCUUCAUCUCUGAUUUACGAGAAAAAAAAUGAGCCAGGAGUUAACCACUUCAGUGGGGUUGACUUAGAUAAAUUAUCAAAAAUGGGUAAUUGUUGCUGCUGCUGUUGUGCCUCAAAAAGAGUGGAAUUGAAUGGUUCACCCUCAUUUUAUCGUUAUCCUACAGUGCCAGAAGAGCGUGAACCUUUGUCAUCUCAUCAUGUCACAGCUGCAGCAUUCUCCAAUGCGCUUUUGGUUGAUACGAAUCUGGACACCUCAAGUCCUGACACUUACAGGCCACCUCCAAUGCCAAUGCCUUAUGAAACAUAUGUGGGAAGGCCCAGGACUCCACCAGGUAAUCCAGAUGGCAUCAAGAAUGAGGCGGCAGUUCAAGAAACAAACAGUGAAGCUGGUGGCGCACUGAGCUCAGCAGACGCUGCCGAAGCUGUUGACAAGGAUAAAAAGGAGUCUGAAGGCAAUGUGCAAACAGCAGAUAUCCAGCUUGAUGCAAUAAAGGAAGUGGAAGAUGAACUCGAGAAGUCCGAUGAACUCAAAAAAUCCAACGUACUUGUACUUUUACCUCCACAAGAAGAGUGUCCCAUCUGUCUUGAAGAAUAUGAUGCGGAGAAUCCAAAAAUGAGCACAAAAUGCGAGCAUCAGUUUCAUCUUUCAUGCAUUCUUGAAUGGAUGGAGAGAAGUGACACCUGCCCUGUCUGUGAUCAGGAAACGGUUUUUAAUCCUGCAAUUGAUGAAUAGCAACAAGAAUUCCGCCUAUAGGCGGUUGGUUGCAGAAGUGACAUUUGUUGUAUGCCAAGAAGUGUUGUUCAAUACUUUGUGUCCAUGGUAGUUUUACAGCUUUAGCCGUAGUUUCUUCACAUGUUUCCUUCUUGUGUUUG